GCACCCGGGCGGCAUUGGUGCACUACGAUGGCAUACAGUGCUGACGAAACAAGGCUUUUGUCAUGUGGGACAAGCAAAGACGGGGAAUCAAACAUUGUCGAAUGGAACAAGAGUGAAGGGGCGGUUAAAAGAACGUAUCUUGGUUUCCGUAAACGAUCUUUAGGUGUCGUACAGUCUGAUACAACAAAAAAACAGACUUAUAGCAGCUGGUGAUGAGUUUUUAAUUAAAUAUUGGGAUAUGGAUAGCGUUCAGCUUUUGACAAGUGUUGAUGCUGAUGGAGGUCUUCCGGCAAGCCCACGAAUCCGUUUUAACAAAGACGGUGCUCUUUUGGCUGUUUCUGCUCAAGAUAACGGUAUAAAAUUUUAGCAAAUUAUGAUGGACUUCGGUUUACUUCGAAUGUUUGAAAAUAUUUCGUUUGAUGGUUCUGCCUCAAU